rnacentral:rRNA from 1 species
AGAAUCAACGCUGGCGGCGUGCCUAACACAUGCAAGUCGAACGAGAAAGUGGAGCAAUCCAUGAGUAAAGUGGCGACCGGGUGAGUAACACGUGACUAACCUACCUUCGAGUGGGGGAUAACCUCGGGAAACCGAGGCUAAUACCGCAUAACAUCGCAAGAUCAAAGCAGCAAUGCGCUGGAAGAGGGGGUCGCGGCUGAUUAGCUAGUUGGCGGGUAACGCCCACAAGGCGAAGAUCGGUAGCCGGCCUGAGAGGGCGCACGGCCACACUGGAACUGAAACACGGUCCAGACUCCUACGGGAGGCAGCAGUGGGAAUUUUGCGCAAUGGGGGAAACCCUGACGCAGCAACGCCGCGUGGAGGAUGAAGCCCUUGGGGCGUAAACUCCUUUCGACCAAGACGAUAAUGACGGUACUGGUGGAAGAAGCACCGGCUAACUCUGUGCCAGCAGCCGC